GCUAGAAGAAUCUACUGACCUGGAGGAGAUCAUGAGUGCUGGAGAUGACUGUUGCCUGAUAACUCUCCCCUUGAAUGAGCAGUCUGCACCGCCUCAAAGAAAUACAGCUGAGAGUCCAUCUGAAAAAACUGAAACUGGAUGAUACACAACAAGAAGUUACUUCAAAACAUGAGCAUUCUUCCGAUUUACAAGAACCAUCAGUUAAAAUUCAGUCUCCUAAAUUAAGUGGCAAAUCUAGGGCAGAUUCUGCUUCCAGGGAUGACAGAAAGCAAGAAACAAGUGUGUCGUUUAAUUACAGGAAACAUCUCUUCUCUGAGAGUAGUCAAGAUUCAAGUACCAGUACCAGCGAACUAUCUUGGACCAGUAACCAAAAGAAGAAAUCCCUAAAAUCAUACUCUAGUAGAAAAAAGAUAAGAACCAGGAGUAGUAUAAGAAUCUUGCCACUUUUCCCUCUCAGUAGUGGCAGUGACCAUGACCACAAGAAAGACCAAGCUAAACUUCUAAGACCAUUACGGAAAGACGUGUCCAGGCAAAAUGACACCAUGCCUCCGCAAAUUUCCGAAACAAAAUUCCCAAGUAGUUCUGCCUUUUUAACUCUUGAAGAUUCUGCGAAAAAAACAGAUUGUGAACCAAGAGUCAUUACUGGAGAGUACUAGCUUCAAACAUACGCUGCAAAACUUGGAAGAUAGAGGCAUCUUCACUCCAUCCUGAGAAGUUGUGCCAGAGAGCUUGAAUGAGUCUGCCCUUCUCACAACCUUUGAAAACUUCACUAGAGAACUGAGAAGAAAAUACAAGGACCAAAGGGACCUAUGUGGAAAUCAGAAGCAUGGUUUGGUUUCAAUGGUAGUGUUUUCACACAGCUGAACUACCGGAAAACAAUGAUUUGGUCAUGCUAAUAGAUAAGGAAGAGAAAAGAGGGAACCAAGCGAAGGACUGGAGAGGAGUUGGGGACAAAGAAGGAGGUAGACUGUGGCUGGUUGGUCAGCUGAGUUGUGGCAGGUCUUGAGACACAUGCAUGUACAGGUUGUCCUAAAAUCUUGUCUACGGGAUGAACAUUAGAGCUAUUUUAGUCCCCUCCUUUUUCUGUCCAGUUAUUUAUAAAUCUCUAAUGACUUAUUAGCACUUUCGAGAAAAGUAUCUUAUCCUAACCAAAUUCAUUUAACUAACUUGGAAGAUCUUCAAAGUCCUGUCUUACUUUCUGUGAUACCAAUGUAAGCCGAUUUAUUAUGGGUAUUUGUUCACAGUAUUCAAUAUGCGUAUUGGUAGCAUGAAUAUAAAUUUUCCCAUUUUAGCUUGUUCUGUAUUGCUAAUGCCUGAAAGGUGUGUAGGGGGAUGCCUUAUCAUAGUUCUUGAACACUAAUGCUAGCUAUGAAUAUUACCAUAUGCUGGCAGCGUCUUU